AACGUAGGUGGCGAGCGUUAUCCGGAUUUACUGGGCGUAAAGCGUGCGUAGGCGGUCUUUUAAGUCUGCUGUGAAAUCCCCGGGCUCAACCUGGGAAUGGCAGUGGAUACUGGGAGGCUAGAGUGUGUCAGAGGAUGGUGGAAUUCCCGGUGUAGCGGUGAAAUGCGUAGAGAUCGGGAGGAACAUCAGUGGCGAAGGCGGCCAUCUGGGACAACACUGACGCUGAGGCACGAAAGCGUGGGGAGCAAACAGG
rnacentral:rRNA from 1 species